AGAGUUUGAUCAUGGCUCAGAAUCAACGCUGGCGGCGUGCCUAACACAUGCAAGUCGAACGCGGUUAGUAGCAAUACUAACUGAGUGGCGAACGGGUGAGUAACACGUGGGUGACCUACCUUCGAGUGGGGGAUAACGUCCCGAAAGGGACGCUAAUACCGCAUGACAUCCUGCCUUUGAACAGGUGGAGAUCAAAGCUGGGGAUCGCAAGACCCGGCGCUUGAUGAGGGGCCCGCGUCCGAUUAGCUAGUUGGUGAGGUAACGGCUCACCAAGGCGACGAUCGGUAUCCGGCCUGAGAGGGCGGACGGACACACUGGGACUGAGACACGGCCCAGACUCCUACGGGAGGCAGCAGUGGGGAAUUGUUCACAAUGGGCGCAAGCCUGAUGACGCAACGCCGCGUGGAGGAUGAAGGUCUUCGGAUUGUAAACUCCUGUUGCCAGGGACGAAUGGCUCCGACCUAAUACGUCGGAGAAUGACGGUACCUGGUGAGGAAGCCCCGGCUAACUCUGUGCCAGCAGCCGCGGUAAUAC
rnacentral:rRNA from 1 species